ACGGCUCUAUCACGUUGAGAUACCGAUUUCCGUAGGAUCACUAAAAUUAAGCAAUGUCGCGCCUGAUUAGUAUCUAGAUGGGUGACCUCUUGAAAAGACCAGCUGCUGUAAU